AUUGAACGCUGGCGGCAGGCUUAACACAUGCAAGUCGAGCGGAGAGAGGUAGCUUGCUACUGAUCUUAGCGGCGGACGGGUGAGUAAUACUUAGGAAUCUGGCUAUUAGUGGGGGACAACAUUUCGAAAGGGAUGCUAAUACCGCAUACGUCCUACGGGAGAAAGCAGGGGAUCUUCGGACCUUGCGCUAAUAGAUGAGCCUAAGUCGGAUUAGCUAGUUGGUGGGGUAAAGGCCUACCAAGGCGACGAUCUGUAGCGGGUCUGAGAGGAUGAUCCGCCACACUGGGACUGAGACACGGCCCAGACUCCUACGGGAGGCAGCAGUGGGGAAUCUUCUGCAAUGGGCGCAAGCCUGACAGAGCGGCGUCAUGUGAAGGAAGAAGGCCUGAAAUAGGUUGUAAACUUCUUUUACUGAGUAAUGAAUACUGACAACGCAGUAAAAAAGUAUCGGCUAACUCCGUGCCAGCCGCCGCAGUAACAC
rnacentral:rRNA from 1 species